UACGUAGGGUGCGAGCGUUAAUCGGAAUUACUGGGCGUAAAGCGUGCGCAGGCGGCGCCGCAAGUCAGGCGUGAAAUCCCCGAGCUUAACUUGGGAAUGGCGCUUGAAACUACGGUGCUGGAGUGUGGCAGAGGGAGGUGGAAUUCCACGUGUAGCGGUGAAAUGCGUAGAGAUGUGGAGGAACAUCGAUGGCGAAGGCGGCCUGCUGGGCAGUAGCUGACGCUGAAGCGCGACAGCGUGGGGAGCAAACAGG
rnacentral:rRNA from 1 species